rnacentral:rRNA from 1 species
CCUACGGGUGGCAGCAGUGAGGAAUAUUGGUCAAUGGACGAGAGUCUGAACCAGCCAAGUAGCGUGAAGGAUGACUGCCCUAUGGGUUGUAAACUUCUUUUAUAUGGGAAUAAAACGUUCCACGUGUGGGAUUUUGUAUGUACCAUAUGAAUAAGGAUCGGCUAACUCCGGGCCAGCAGCCGCGGUAAUACGGAGGAUCCGAGCGUUAUCCGGAUUUAUUGGGUUUAAAGGGAGCGUAGGUGGAUUGUUAAGUCAGUUGUGAAAGUUUGCGGCUCAACCGUAAAAUUGCAGUUGAAACUGGCAGUCUUGAGUACAGUAGAGGUGGGCGGAAUUCGUGGUGUAGCGGUGAAAUGCUUAGAUAUCACGAAGAACUCCGAUUGCGAAGGCAGUUCACUGGACUGCAACUGACACUGAGGCUCGAAAGUGUGGGUAUCAAACAGGAUUAGAUACCCCUGUAGUC